UAAUUUAAAUGUCGUUUUCUGCAACAUCACGUUUAAUUAUUUUCUAAUAGAUAUUCUGUGAAUUUAUAUUUUGUAAAUCAUAUUCGUAUAUAUAUACACAUAGAUAUAUUAAUAAUAUAUUUAAAAAUAUGAUAUAAAAUAUAAAUUAUAAAAAUAUAAACAAAUUUAAUGCAUAAUUUCAAAAGAUUGCUAUGAAUAAUACGAAAUAAUAUGUAAUUUUAACUAUAACCUAUAUGAAAGUUGAAAAUUUGACAGUAAAAAGAAAUAAAAAAAGAAAAUCAAUGAUUUAAAAUAGGAAAUCGAAUGUGUAAAUAUUUGACAAUAUGAAAUUUAUAAUGGUCUAAUCUCGUGGUUUGUAUUGAAAAAACAAAUACUGUGAUGUAGUAUUUAAAGAAUCUGAUGAAAAAAGAAAAUUUAUCAACCGAAGCACAUGUAAACUUAUUACAGGUACAAUUGCUCAAUUUUUUUUGUAAAUAAAAUAAAGUCGAGAUAAAGAUCCAAGGUAUAUCGUGUGGAUUUGUUUAAUUGCUAUUAAUAAAUGCAACAAUUUGUAAUGAAAUGGCAACACUUGUUUCAUUACAAUCCAUUGUGUUUUCUUAUGAAAGUGGUGAUGGAAAUUUUGACUCUAGUGUUCUUAAAUAUUGUAUAAGUUUUCCUAAAAUCAUAAAAUUAAAAAUUAAAUUCUAUAUAUAUUAUUAGAAUAAGAUAAAUAUUAAUAUCAAUGACUUUAUAUAAUAAAUAUAAUAAAUAAAUAUAUAUAUAAUAAAUA